CUUGGUCAUUUAGAGGAAGUAAAAGUCGUAACAAGGUUUCCGUAGGUGAACCUGCGGAAGGAUCAUUAAUGAGAACUUGCCCCUCGGGGUAGAUCUCCCACCCUUUGUGAACCAUACCUCUGUUGCUUUGGCAGGUCGGUCCUAGGAUCGCCGGCGUCUUGCUGGUUAGCGCCUGCCAGAGGAUCUUAAACGCUUCUGUUUGUGUUGUCCGAGUCAGAUAUCAAAUCGUUAAAACUUUCAACAACGGAUCUCUUGGUUCUGGCAUCGAUGAAGAACGCAGCGAAAUGCGAUAAGUAAUGUGAAUUGCAGAAUUCAGUGAAUCAUCGAAUCUUUGAACGCACAUUGCGCCCUCUGGUAUUCCGGGGGGCAUGCCUGUUCGAGCGUCAUUUCAACCCUCAAGCUCUGCUUGGUAUUGGGCCUGCGCCGGUGAGCCGGCGGGCCUCAAAAUCAGUGGCGGUGCCAUCUGGCUUCAAGCGUAGUAACACAUCUCGCUUCUGGAGACCCAGGUGGUUGCCGGCCAGCAAACCCCAUCUUCUCAGGUUGACCUCGGAUCAGGUAGGGAUACCCGCUGAACUUAAGCAUAUCAAUAAGCGGAGGA
rnacentral:rRNA from 1 species